rnacentral:lncRNA from 1 species
UAAAACCAAAUGAAAAAUUUAGUAACAAAAAACAAAAUACUGAAAGGUUUUCUCUCUCACUUAACUUUAUCUCCCAUCUCACUCCAAUUCACCUUCUUACUCUCUUAACAAAAACUAUCACAUGUUUUCAAAUAAUAAUCAAACAAACAACUUUAGAUUUAAAAAUAAAAAUGAAGAAAAAUAGAAAAUAAAAGAGGGGAAUGGAGAGAUACUAGCUGAUAGUGUGGUGGUGACUGAAGCUUUCACGAGAUCGUCGGAAAUGGCACGGUCGGAGCUUUCCCGAAGUCGUCGGAAAUGGUAUGACAGCUUGGUGUUUUUAUGAGUAAGUGAAGUGAGUUUAUGAUUAUAAGAAUGAAGUUGAAGUUAUGUUUAUGAGUAAGUGAGGUGGAUUUAUGAUGAUGUAAAAAAUUGUGAGAAGUUUAAUGGUAUUAUGACAAAGUUUGAUGAAAAUAAAUUAUUAUGUGAAGAUUAUAUAGAGCUUUGUUGUUAGAGAGGUUUAUGUGUAGGAAUGUAUUAAUGAAAAUGGUGUUUAGCAUGUUUAAAGAGAAUAAGAAUAUUGCCCCUUUUUAU